rnacentral:rRNA from 1 species
UACGUAGGGGGCCAGCGUUGUUCGGAAUUACUGGGUGUAAAGGGUUCGUAGGCGGUUCGGCAAGUUGGGAGUGAAAUCUCUGGGCUUAACCCAGAGGCUGCUUCCAAAACUGCUGUGCUUGAGUGUGGGAGAGGCGCGUGGAAUUGCAGGUGUAGCGGUGAAAUGCGUAGAUAUCUGCAGGAACACCCGUGGCGAAAGCGGCGCGCUGGACCACUACUGACGCUGAGGAACGAAAGCUAGGGGAGCAAACAGG